GAGAGUGCGCCUCAGCUGUGAGGGAUGGACUUCCUUCUGAGCUUUCUGGUUGUCGUCUGUGGGGAUCGAUGAGUCCCAGCGACUGCUCCUCUCGUGGCUAACACUAAUUCACCGAGGAGCUAUACAUACUCCUUCCCUUCUUCCCUCCAUGCUGGGGGUGCCUACAGGAGGCAAUCAGGAGUCUUUAUUGUGUAUCUUGUGGGGGUUGGGGGGAGGCCUGGAGACAGCACUGUGACCUCCAAGUGACCACUGGGCCAAGCUCCAGGACAACAGGCUUCUCUUCAAGCCUAGGGAGCGCCUCCCUCCAGUAGCAGUGUGCGGUCAUUUACUGGACGUCUGGAAUUCUCAGAAUCACCCAGCCAUCACCAUCGCAAUACACGGCGUUUAUUGAGUGCUUACUUUGCACCAGGUACCAAGGAUUUUCCAGUUAUUUUCUCAUUUGAUCCUCAUAACAACCCAAUUAGAUAAGUACCAUUAUUAUCUCUAUUACCAAUGAAGAAAUUGUGGCUGAAGAUCCAGAGCCACUCUGAGGUUUCCCCCUUUUUUUUUUUUUUUUUUUUUUUGAGGC
rnacentral:lncRNA from 1 species